rnacentral:rRNA from 1 species
AACUUUAAAUGCGAAGAUUGCUUUGUUGCGGUUGAAAAUGCUCGUAGUUGAAGCGAUGAAAAGCAACAAGAGUCCACACGAUGAGUGCUGUACACUCGGUCGGUUGUCUGCCGGAAAGUUGGUUUUUCUGAGAUGUUGGUCUGUGCGCCGAUACUCUUCACUGGGUGUCGGAGUUUCCUUCCAACAAGUUUACUUUGAGUAAAAAAGAGAUAUCAAAGCAGGAAAUACAAGUGCGAGCAACUGAAUACAAGAGCAUGAGAUAAUAGAACAGGACUGUGGUUCUAUUGUCUUUUGGUUUUCAUUUUACGUGGAUAGAAACAAAGUAAUGAUGAAGAGAGAUAGUUGUGAUCAUUCGUAUUUUGCCAGUCAGAGGUGAAAUUCAUAGAUUUUUGGUAAAGAC